CUCAAUAUAUUAUUAUUGACCAUGCUUUAAAAUCAGUGUGGAAAAAUCCCACUCCAUUAUCGUUGGUUAGCCUAAAAUCAGAAAAGGCCCCCUUAAACUUGGUUUAAUGAUACGAUUAAAUCAGCUUUCCUACCUUCAAUUAAUAAAUAUUACAGCAUACAUCGUAAUGUAUGACUUUUUUUUUUUUUUUUUUUUUUGAAACACUCGUAAUGUAUGACCUAAAAUACAUAAUAUAAUUGUGGAUGGGUCUUUAUUCCUGGGCCAUAAUAUGUGCAUUACAUGCUUUCUUGUCUUUGUCUGUUGGUAGUACUAACUAAAGUCGAGGAGGCCGUCAAUCCCAAAAAUGAAAAAAAAGAACACACACACAUUAACAUACUAUUGGUUCAGUCUUGGCUGAAUAUCACUUGCGAAAAUCAUUAAAGAAUGAUCCACAGACUAUAGUUAAAUAUUCUUGACAUUUUGUUUGUGUAAUUGUGUUUAAUCUUGUAGUUUUUUUUUUAUCUUGUAGUUGCGUGCUAAUAUUUGUCUUAGGGAUUAUGUAACAAACUUUUAACGGAUUCUUUAAACUUAAGACUCCUCUUAACAAUAAGCUUACACACUCAUUCGAAAGUUCUUACUCAUUUCAUUAACUUUUUUUUUUUUUUGACAAAGGUCAUUUCAUUAACUUUAUGGGUUGGUAACAAAGUUUAACUGUAUGAUCACUCUCUUUAGGUCAACAUUUGUUUCCCUAAUACUGUUGCAUGGAUUUCUACUUCUACAUGAUACAUAAUAUUAUAUAUACUAGACACUCAAAUUCAAAACAUGGAUAAAUUUAUCGAUCGUAUUAAUUAGUUAUAAGUCGAAAACUUAUAAACAAACAUAUAACAACCAUGUGAAGAAUGUAAAGAGAUCAUUUAACCCAUUUUUCUAAAAGCUGUUAGUUAACUACUGACUAUUUCU
rnacentral:lncRNA from 1 species